GAUGAACGCUGGCGGCGUGCCUAAUACAUGCAAGUCGAGCGAAUGGAUUGAGAGCUUGCUCUUAUGAAGUUAGCGGCGGACGGGGGAGUAACACGUGGGUAACCUGCCCAUAAGACUGGGAUAACUCCGGGAAACCGGGGCUAAUACCGGAUAACAUUUUGAACCGCAUGGUUCGAAAUUGAAAGGCGGCUUCGGCUGUCACUUAUGGAUGGACCCGCGUCGCAUUAGCUAGUUGGUGAGGUAACGGCUCACCAAGGCAACGAUGCGUAGCCGACCGGAGAGGGUGAUCGGCCACACUGGGACUGGGACACGGCCCAGACUCCUACGGGAGGCAGCAGUAGGGAAUCUUCCGCAAUGGACGAAAGUCUGACGGAGCAACGCCGCGUGAGUGAUGAAGGCUUUCGGGUCGUAAAACUCUGUUGUUAGGGAAGAACAAGUGCUAGUUGAAUAAGCUGGCACCUUGACAGUACCUAACCAGAAAGCCACGGCUAACUACGUGCCAGCCGCCGCGGUAA
rnacentral:rRNA from 1 species